GAUGAACGCUGGCGGCGUGCCUAAUACAUGCAAGUCGAGCGAACAGACGAGGAGCUUGCUCCUCUGACGUUAGCGGCGGACGGGUGAGUAACACGUGGAUAACCUACCUAUAAGACUGGGAUAACUUCGGGAAACCGGAGCUAAUACCGGAUAACAUGUUGAGCCGCAUGGUUCAACAGUGAAAGACGGUCUUGCUGUCACUUAUAGAUGGAUCCGCGCCGCAUUAGCUAGUUGGUAAGGUAACGGCUUACCAAGGCAACGAUGCGUAGCCGACCUGAGAGGGUGAUCGGCCACACUGGAACUGAGACACGGUCCAGACUCCGAGGGGAGGCAGCAGUAGGGAAUGUUCCGCAAUGGGCGAAAGCCUGACGGAGCAACGCCGCGUGAGUGAAGAAGGUCUUCGGAUCGUAAAACUCUGUUAUUGGGGAAGAACAAAUGUGUAAGUAACUAUGCGCGUCUUGACGGUACCGAAUCAGAAAGCCACGGCUAACUACGU
rnacentral:rRNA from 1 species